rnacentral:rRNA from 1 species
UACGGAGGGCGCGAGCGUUAUCCGGAAUCACUGGGUUUAAAGGGUGCGUAGGCGGCUCGGUAAGUCAGUUGUGAAAGCCCCUUGCUUAACGAGGGAGGUGCGAUUGAUACUGUCGAGCUUGAAUCGGGAUGAGGCAGGCGGAAUGUGGCAUGUAGCGGUGAAAUGCAUAGAUAUGCCAUAGAACACCGAUUGCGAAGGCAGCCUGCUGGGCCUGUACUGACGUUGAGGCACGAAAGCGUGGGGAGCAAACAGG